rnacentral:rRNA from 1 species
UUCGUAGCUGGUCUGUUAAGUCUCUGGGGAAAUCUACUGGCUUAACCAAUAGGCGUCUCAGGGAUACUGGCAGACUAGGGACCGGGAGAGGUGAGAGGUACUCCAGGGGUAGGAGUGAAAUCCUGUAAUCCUUGGGGGACCACCUGUGGCGAAGGCGUCUCACCAGAACGGCUCCGACAGUGAGGGACGAAAGCUGGGGGAGCAAACCGGAUUAGAUACCCGGGUAGUCCCAGCCGUAAACGAUGCGCGUUAGGUGUAUCGGUGACCACGAGUCACCGAGGUGCCGAAGAGAAAUCGUGAAACGUGCCGCCUGGGAAGUACGGUCGCAAGGCUGAAACUUAAAGGAAUUGGCGGGGGAGCACCACAACAGGUGGAGCCUGCGGUUUAAUCGGACUCAACGCCGGAAAUCUCACCGGAUAAGACAGCUGAAUGAUAGUCGGGCUGAAGACUCUACUUGACUAGCUGAGAGGAGGUGCAUGGCCGUCGUCAGUUCGUACUGUGAAGCAUA